CCUGGCACACGCCGAUCAGCCUCACGAUGUGUGGGUGCUCGAUUCUGCCCAGCACUACAACCUGGGGAGUUCCAAACAUGAUUGGGAUUUCCUCAGGUUACGAUCAUGCAGUUCAUAGAUGCUUCACCAAGUAGUAAGGUUCACAAGACCAUCAAGAAUGUCAUCGUGAGUAAGGUAAUGUGCCCUAACCUGCAAGGACGCAUGCAUGUUUACUAAACUUGUCUUCUGUUAAAGAGUUAUCUUGUUACCCUUACUAUUCAUUUUCAGAACCUAAUGUAAUAUGGAUUUGAUCUCUGUGCACAUAGUUUGUUUUCUUAGCUGUUAGCAUCAGAUAUAACCAUUAUUCCCCUUAUGUUAUUGCUAGUCUGAGAUAAUUCAUGAUCGCUUCUUGAAUGAACUCUGAUAACUGAUAAGCACGAAUGUAAAAUCUUAGGAUAGAAUAGCUUUACCUCUCUUGUAUCACAUAUGCCUUUGUAUUGUGAUAACAUUCUGAUCAUUGAUUCUGUUUCUCUGCCUCUGUGCAUCUCUUUCUCCUUUUCAUCUGCAAACUUGUAUAGUACCUUGCCACCCACUGCAGUUGUUGGGUAGAAACAAAGAAUUAUCUAUGUAGCUCAUAAAAAUAAGAUUAUAUAUACUUAAUCAUGUUAAUAUUUCUGCUCAUCAAAUGUAACUAUUUUGUUGAGUAAGUCGUGAGUGUAAUCUUCUACAGCAUUUUAGGGAGGGUUGUUUCUGGACCUAGGUCCUAUGUCCUAGGCCAGAUGCCAUUGGAUUCCACCUGAGAGAAUUGGGGAUAUGGGCCAGAUUAGAUUUGCCACUGGUUAUGUGCUGUUAAUCAUGCCAAGAAUGAACAACAAUGCAUGGACUAAUAAGCCUAAGGGGGAUGAACUUUAUUAAAAAAAUAAGAGGGCCACCUGUACCCCGAGGUGCUACAGUACCCAGCCCAAGACAACAUUUAAGAAAACAUUAUAAUCCAAAAAAGAUGCAUUGGGAACUGUGUAGUACAAUAGAAAAAAAGUAUCUGGGGACAACAUAGAACUGCAUACCCUAUGACCAUUAUAAAAAUAGGUGUUUGCUGGUCUGUAAGACCAAAUUAGUUGCUUGAUUAAGAUUAAUGGUGUGUAAUCAGUUGCCAAACAUGGGACUAAACAAAUAUUAUGUGACAAAACAAAGAACUGUGUAUCCCUAGGCGGUUUGUACCGUGCAUAGCCUAGGUGCUGACCUAGGUCCAGCAGGCGAUUACCAAACAUUUUAGCUACCCACUGCUGCUGCACUGUGUGCAUUAUCCAGAUGUCAGGAAAGCAGGAAAAGGCUGUUUAUUAUACCGUCGAAGUUAUUGAUUAGGCACUUCCUUUCCUGGUCUGGUAGAGAAAUCAGGAGUGCAUGGAAGGUAAGAUGGCUUUGAAUCAUUUAAUCAUGAUUAAAAAGCUAAAUUGUUGCCUUCCAAUUAUCGAUAAUUUUCAAAUGAGGAUUGGAUAGCAUAUUACUUUCUAUUCAACACAAGUUAAAAGAUAGUAUGCUGAGUUGCACAUGGCUGACCAAGAGUACAAAGGACGGAAAAGAUUUAGCUGCAGAAAUCUUACUGAAGGGCAUCCACUUGGAUGGCCAGUGAACAUUGACAAGGGUUAUAGUGGCCCUGGGGAAAUUUGCAGCAGCCCAUAAUAUGUUAGCCUUCUCCUUUCUGAAGUUCUUUCCGACUGCAAUAUGAACCUCUUCUUCAUCCAUAUUAGUCGCUCCCUAUAGCGCCCUAAAAAAAUCAAGAAUCAACAUCAAUUCUAGAAUUUGCUUUUGCUAUCUGGUUCAGCCGUUCAGUAGAACCUGAACAGCUGAAACACUACAUCAAAUAGGAAAAGAUGAAGAUAUUUGGAAAGGGUCUAAAAGUCUUGUGGAAGUACCUAGCUGUGCUGCCCCAACUCUUCAUCAACUCAGGGGCAUCAAUAUCAGUGUCACCUUGGCCCUUUUGUGCCUUUGCUUUUUCUAGGAAGUAUCAGUUCAUAGAACGGCUAAAGGAGAGAGUCUGGUGGUGGUUUUAAAGAGUGGCCUUGGAUUUGGCCUUCCUCUGAUUGCAGGCAGAAGCUGUAAGCACGUCAUCAGUGCGGCAGUGCCCAUCAAAGGGUUGCUUUCAAGAUGUGGAAAAAUUGCCCAGGAGAUAUAAUUUGAUAUGAUUAGACUAUUGCAACAUUGUUCUUUCCCUGGAGGUGGCUCUCACAUAGUUCUUGCUCUCAAGCUGUCAAUAUAGUAAUGGUACGUUAGCGCGUCUCCUGUUUUUUUUAAGCACUUGACUUGUUGACCAGCAUAUACCAGCAUUAUACCCUGAAGUACAAUACUAAACAUUGAGGUGCAGCUUGUAUCUGUUGGAAUCUCAUCAUAUUCAUUUGGACGGAAGUGCUUGUCGAGAAGAAAUUACACAUGAGUGAUGUCUUGACAUAGUGAUACGUCAGAUGAUGAACUGGGCUCCUGCGAAAAAUCUAGAUAGACCAUGACUGCAAGGUGGAACAAGUUUCUUUCUGGUUGCUGAUUUCUGAAGAUACCAAUUGAUAAUUCAUUCUGCUAGUUUCUGAUCAGAUUUACUGGGAACUUGGUCAGUCAUUUGAGACAAGGACAUCAUACCUUUUGAGUUUGUUGAGCAACCUGCAUAGCCAUUCUUGGAUUGCAGAACGGAGGGCAUGGUUCGGCAAAAGAUCACGGUGGAGUAGCUCAAGGUUUGUCAUGGGUGACGUAUGGUGGCCACUGUCAAUCCACUCCCUUAUAGCUUCGGCUUCAUAGCGCAUUCUCUUGGUAAGCAGAGUAUGAAAAAGGACAUGGAGAUGGGGAACAAAUCCAGUAAGAACAAGGCUGAUGGACAUGCAGCAGGACAAGCCUGAGAUCACCACCGUGCAGGAGGUUCCCGGCUGCCCAGAUGAGGCUGGACCUGCUGUCCUUGAGGUCCUUCCCGACAGCCACGUGCAGCUUCCCUCCGCUAUCGUUGUCCUCCUCU